CGAGGGGAAUUGAAACAUCUUAGUACCCUCAGGAAAAGAAAUCAAUAGAGAUUGCGUCAGUAGCGGCGAGCGAAAGCGCAAGAGGGCAAACCCAGUGCUUGCACUGGGGGUUGUAGGACUGCAAUGUGCAAGAGGUAAGUUUAGCAGAACAUUCUGGAAAGUAUAACCAUAGAGGGUGAUAGUCCCGUAUGCGAAAAACAAACCUUAGCUAGCAGUAUCCUGAGUAGGGCGGGACACGAGGAAUCCUGUCUGAAUCCGGGUCGACCACGAUCCAACCCUAAAUACUAAUACCAGAUCGAUAGUGCACAAGUACCGUGAGGGAAAGGUGAAAAGAACUGAGGUGAUCAGAGUGAAAUAGAACCUGAAACCAUUUGCUUACAAUCAUUCAGAGCCCUAUGUAGGAAUACAGGGUGAUGGACUGCCUUUUGCAUAAUGAGCCUGCGAGUUGUGGUGUCUGGCAAGGUUAAGCAAACGCGAAGCCGUAGCGAAAGCGAGUCUGAAUAGGGCGCUUAGUCAGAUGCUGCAGACCCGAAACGAAGUGAUCUAUCCAUGAGCAAGUUGAAGCUAGUGUAAGAACUAGUGGAGGACUGAACCCAUAGGCGUUGAAAAGCCCCGGGAUGACUUGUGGAUAGGGGUGAAAGGCCAAUCAAACUUCGUGAUAGCUGGUUCUCUCCGAAAUAUAUUUAGGUAUAGCGUUGUGUCGUAAUAUAAGGGGGUAGAGCACUGAAUGGGCUAGGGCAUACACCAAUGUACCAAACCCUAUCAAACUCCGAAUACCUUAUAUGUAAUCACAGCAGUCAGGCGGCGAGUGAUAAAAUCCGUCGUCAAGAGGGAAACAACCCAGACUACCAGCUAAGGUCCCUAAAUCUUACUUAAGUGGAAAACGAUGUGAAGUUACUUAAACAACCAGGAGGUUGGCUUAGAAGCAGCCAUCCUUUAAAGAAAGCGUAAUAGCUCACUGGUCUAGUGAUUUUGCGCGGAAAAUAUAACGGGGCUAAAGU
rnacentral:rRNA from 1 species